rnacentral:lncRNA from 1 species
CUCCACUGUGACUUCAAGACUUCCUAAACUGUCUAAUAUCUUUUAAUACAUAUGUGAAAAAAACCCUUCUGUAUAAUUUUUGCUUUUAACAAUGUCAUUGUUUUGCAUUACUAGGAACUGGACAGUCCCUUUAGGUUAUAUGGGCUUACAAUGAAUCCACUGCUUUAUAAUAUCACCCAAGUUGUCAUUCUGUCAGCUGUUUCUGGUGUCAUCAGUGACUUGCUUGGAUUUAAUCUAAAGCUCUGGAAGAUCAAAUCUUGACAAUAUAUAAAGAAGAUGACAUAACACAGUGUUACAGAAAAACUCAUUGAUUGACAAAACUGCCUCAAAGCAGCCACUGACUCUGUAUUUCAGAUGCUACAACCUCUUCAAGGAUGUCGUUUGGAAAAUUGAAGUGUUUACAUCUGACUGUCUUGUGCAAUCUUUGUAUUUAUUUCAUCUUCUCACUGUUUUAUGUUCAUUUUAGUUGACAUUUAUAUUUUAUUUUCAAACUUAUUUGUUUAGUUUUGGAAAAAGUCAAAGUUAGAAAGGGUCAAAAACUGCGUAUCUGAGAACUUGAAAUCCUGGAAACUGCUUACACUAAAUUAGUAUAUCUGUUGUUAAAGCUGAAGCCAAUGCUGAACGUUUUUAGUUACAGUAACGCUAUAUUGAAGUCACGAUUUCUGACAGUGUGGUAAAAUUACCUAGAAUAUUUCAUUUGCACCAAUCAUUUAUGAGGGCAACGUAACAUCAACAGAUGUUUGGUUGCAAUAGAAAAAUGAGAUCUAUAAAAAAAACCAUACUGACAAUACAGUAUGAAAGGUAGCAGAAAUAUUUUCUAUUAAUAUUAGAAGCAAGUGGGAAUUUUUAAUAUUUUGAGUAAUUCCAGGAUCUAAACUCAUAUAGGCUGCAGUUUAAAUAUCCUGGGAUAUUAAUAAGGUAUUAUAUAACAAGUCAACAAGUGCUCUUUGAUAACACUUUUAUUAGAGCAAUAAUUGUAAAUGGUUACCAUGCUGUAUGAUAUUUUGAUAAAAUUAAAUAUUGUAUUUAUUUGAAAUACUGAGCUGUUCUGCGCAGCUCUGACUGUGCAUGCUCAAUAUGUGCACUUUUUAUUGUUACUUUUAAUGAGAAACUUUAUAUAUAUACAUAUAAAUGUAUAUUAAUUGGAAUAUAUUAUGGUGAACUAUGGAGCAGUAUAUAUUAUAUGUUGAAGUUGAAUAUUUAAACAAGCGAAAGAUUUACUGGUGAAAGGAAUGCUAUGGGUGACUGAGCAUAAGAUAGAUAGGUGCUCUCCUCUUGUACACUAUAGUAUA